rnacentral:lncRNA from 1 species
AGAGUUGCAACAUUUAUUUUAGGUUCUCUCUCUCUUGGGUUUUUUCCUGUAUUUUUUUUUCCUUUUUGCCACACAGGCAGUAUGUGGGAAUUCCUGGGCCAGGGAUUGAACCUAUGCUGCACAGUAGCAACCAAAGCCACAGCAGUGAGAACGCAGGAGCCUCAACCUGCUACACCAUCAGAGAACUCCCUACAGUAUCUUUACCAGUAUGUGUAAGUGUAUGGUAAGUGUAUAUAUAUAUAUAUACACACACACACACACACUUACCAUAAUAAGAAGCUUAAUUUGAAAUUUUCAGGUAAAUAUUAAAUUUGAAAAUUAAAAAUUCACAGUAGAUAAUAAGUAGCUAUGGAUAUAUGACACAGAUUAGGAACAUAUUCAAGCCAGCCAUUGUUAAACCUUAUUCUUUUUGCUUUUAUUAUUAAUUCUUCUAGUUUACUAGUUAUAUUCCUGAAGGAGAGGUGUCCUAAGCAUAGGUAUUUAUAGCACAUUUUAACUAUAUGAUAAAUAAACAAAUACAAAACAUUCUUAGGAGUUCCCGUCGUGGCACAGUGGUUAACGAAUCCGACUGGGAACCAUGAGGUUGCGGGUUCAAUCCCUGGCCUUGCUCAGUGGGUUAAGGAUCCGGCAUUGCCGUGAGCUGUGGUGUAGGCAGCUCGGAUCCCGUGUUGCUGUGGCUCUGGCAUAGACCGGUGGCUACGGCUCCGAUUAGACUCCUAGCCUGGGAAUCUCCAUAUGCCGUGGAAGCGGCCCCAGAAAAGGCAAAAAGACCAAAAAAAAAAAAAAAAAAAAUUCUUAAAACAGAAUAACUUAAACAGCCUUCACAAUCAAUAUAGCAUUUUAUAUUCUUGCAAUUUUAACUCACAGUUUAUAAGAAUACACAGAACAUAAUACAGUUCCCUGGUGGUGCAGCAGGUUAAGGAUCUGACAUUGUCACUGCUGUGACCCAGGUCGCUGCUGUGGUGCGGGUUCAAUCCCUGGACCAAGAACUUCUGCAUGCCACAGAGCAACUGAUGAUCCUGUCUCGCUUUGCUGAAUCCCAUUCAUUCCCAUUAAAUAUUUAUUAAUGCCAAUAAAUGUACUGAAGACACAGAACAAGGAUGGACAGAGUCCAGGCUAUUGUGAAACUCUCAAAACCAGGAAUUAUAUCUAUAUAUGUAUGUAUGAAUAUUCACUACAACGGUGACACAUCAACAUACAUACAAAAUGGCUUUUUACCUAUAUUAUUUUCCUAUUUCCAUACUAUAACAAUUACCAUGAAUUUGGUGGCUUAAAACAACAGAAAUGUGUAACUGACAGUUUUGGAAGUUAGAAGUCCAAGCGGGCCUCCGUGGGCGAAAGUCAAGGUGUAGGCAGAGCUGCACUCCUUUCUGGUGGCUCUAAGAAAGAAUCUGUUUCCUUGCCUUCCCAGCUUCUAAAGGCUACCCUCAUACCUUGGCUCAUGGGCCCCCUUCCAUUUCAAAAUCAGUAAGAGCUGGUUGAGUCUUUCUCACAUCUCACCGUUGUGACACUGACUAUUCUGCUCCCCUCUUCCACGUUUAGGAAAACUGUGGAAUUAUACUGGGUCUACUCAGAUAACUCAGGAUAAUCUACCUUUAGGUCACCUGAGUAGCACCCUUCAUUCUCUCUGCACCCUGAACACCCCUUGCCAUGUAACAUAACAUAUUCACAGAUUCCAGGGAUUAGGACAUGGACAUUAUUAGGAGAACCAUUACUCUAUCUACCAUGCAGAUGAAUCGUUUUUCUCUAGUUUUCUUCAGGAACUCCAUCGACCAUUAUCCAUCUCUGAAGUUACACACAACCAGUUCACAUAACCACUUGAUUCUAGAGAAAGGGUCUGUAACUGUCAACAAAUUCUCAAUGUUUAAGCAUCUUCGGACUAACUCAUAGAAUAUCAGUGUUCCUUAGAAGGAUAGUCUGGCAGUGUCAACAAUGCCAAAUUUUAGACUGGCUUUUAAAUGUGUAUAUUUUUAGCUUUGAAGACCUUGAUAUGGGUUGAAAGUUUUUUCUUGUUAUAUUUUUCCUGUGAGUGUUUUUAGUUUUAAUCAUCCUAAUUAUACUUCUUUAUAUCUUGCACAUGUAAACAUUUUUCUACACUGGUAUGCAUCAUUUUGUGAUGAUGUGAACAGUAAAUCCAGUGGACUUUGCACAAUUUACUCAAUAAUCUUACUCUUAAGACAUAUCAAGCCAACCCCCUUUUUUGCUAUUACAUUUAGUAUGUUGGAAUGAGCAUCUUCCUGCAUAGAUCUUUUUCCAUUUAUUUCACCUAGACUAGAUUCUUGAAAUUGGAAUUUCUGGCAGGAUGAUAUGGAUAUUUCUCUAAUCCUUUUUAUAAUUACCAAGUUACUUUCCUAAAUGUCUUUUUAAAUUUGCACUGCCACCAGCCUUUACUCACUCAUAUCAUCAAUGUGAGGAGGUUUUUUAAAAUGUCUUUGAGGGUACCCUUUGUGCAUAAAAAGAAUAUUCAAGGGCCACUUAAAUUCCUAUCCCAGUUAUUAACUAAAAAACUUAGUUCUCCCUUAACUUUUUUUUUUUUUCCCACUGUACAGCAAGGGGGUCAGGUUAUCCUUACAUGUAUACAUUACAAUUACAGUUUUUCCCCCACCCUUUCUUCUGUUGCAACAUGAGUAUCUAGACAUAGUUCUCAAUA